rnacentral:lncRNA from 1 species
CAAAGAAAAAAAAAAUCUCGCCAACCCAACCCGUUAAAAUCUUUUGGAGACCCGUCGGAAGUCCGAUGGGUUGCCGGGUAUUGCAACCCAAAUUUCGGUCGAGAAUGAACGAAAUCGUAAUAAUAUCGGGCAACUCCAUAAUUCCAAUGAAUCCGGAAGUAAUCCGAGCAAUACGCAGGCGAAGUGAAAACAAUCCUAGUGGAAGGAGUACUGCAGUGUACCCUCGGCCAUCUGCUUCGCUUGUUUACGAUUGAAAACGAAUGACAAAGUACAUCUCCAGUGGUUCUGAAACAAUCUCCAGAUCGGAGCAGUCACAAUUUUAGAACCUGUUAGUGUACAGUUUGUUUGAACGAAUCGAAACUUAAAAAACCAAUCUUUUUCACACAACCCUUGAAACAUGGGGUGCGUAUAAGUCCGAUUAGAAAUCCAGAAAAAUUUGACGAUGUGGGUUUAGGGUUUUUUUUCUUGCCAUUUAGGGCUUUUAAUCUCGUCUUCCUUCAGUUUUUCUUAAAGAUUUGAUUCAAUGGGUUUGGUUGGAGAGAUUUUUUUAUAUUUUAAUUUUUUG